UACGUAGGGUGCGAGCGUUGUCCGGAAUUAUUGGGCGUAAAGAGCUCGUAGGCGGCCUGUUGCGUCGGUUGUGAAAGCCCGGGGCUUAACCCCGGGUCUGCAGUCGAUACGGGCAGGCUAGAGUUCGGUAGGGGAGAUCGGAAUUCCUGGUGUAGCGGUGAAAUGCGCAGAUAUCAGGAGGAACACCGGUGGCGAAGGCGGUUCUCUGGGCAUUACCUGACGCUGAGGAGCGAAAGUGUGGGGAGCGAACAGG
rnacentral:rRNA from 1 species